AUUCAGAGAAAAAAAAAUGGACGGAAAAUUGUGCCAAUAGUGAUCGCGAAUGACCGGAAAAAAUUUUUUUUCUCAAUUUUGAUCGACCAAAAACGUCUCUACGACCGAAAAGUGAUAUGUGUGAUCACGUAAAAGUGACUGUCAGUGAUACGAGAGAGCGAAUGGCACAAACUCACUUCAAGAAAUAAGUGUCCGGUCUCCAUAUUCUUUCGAGC